GAUGAACGCUAGCUACAGGCUUAACACAUGCAAGUCGAGGGGUCUCAAGGGAGCUUGCUUCUGCGAGACGACCGGCGCACGGGUGAGUAACGCGUAUCCAACCUGCCCUUCAUAUUGGGAUAGCCUUCCGAAAGGGAGAUUAAUACCGAAUAACAUGAGAAGAUUGCAUGAACCUCUCAUGAAAGCUCCGGCGAUGAAGGAUGGGGAUGCGUUCCAUUAGGUAGUAGGCGGGGUAACGGCCCACCUAGCCUACGAUGGAUAGGGGUUCUGAGAGGAAGGUCCCCCACACUGGGACUGAGACACGGUCCAGACUCCUACGGGAGGCAGCAGAGAGGAAUAUUGGUCAAUGGGCGCAAGCCUGAACCAGCCAAGUAGCGUGAAGGAUGACUGCCCUAUGGGUUGUAAACUUCUUUUAUACGGGAACAAACCUUGGUACGCGUACCAAAUUGCGUGUACCGUAUGAAUAAGCAUCGGCUAACUCCGUGCCAGCCGCCGCCGUAAAAC
rnacentral:rRNA from 1 species